UGACCUCGGAUCAGGUAGGACUACCCGCUGAACUUAAGCAUAUCAAUAAGCGGAGGAAAAGAAACCAACAGGGAUUGCCCCAGUAACGGCGAGUGAAGCGGCAACAGCUCAGAUUUGGAAUCUGGCCCCUAGGGCCCGAGUUGUAAUCUGGAGAGGAUGCUUCUGGCGCGGCGCCUUCCGAGUUCCCUGGAACGGGACGCCGGAGAGGGUGAGAGCCCCGUACGGUUGGACGCCUAGCCUUUGUGAAGCUCCUUCGACGAGUCGAGUAGUUUGGGAAUGCUGCUCAAAAUGGGAGGUAAAUUUCUUCUAAAGCUAAAUACCGGCCAGAGACCGAUAGCGCACAAGUAGAGUGAUCGAAAGAUGAAAAGCACUUUGAAAAGAGGGUCAAACAGUACGUGAAAUUGUUGAAAGGGAAGCGCCCGUGGCCAGACUUGUGCCUCGCGGACCACCCGGCGCCCUCAGCGCCGGUGCACUCCGCGGGGCGCAGGCCAGCAUCGGUUUUCCUAGGGGGAUAAAGGCGGCGGGAACGUGGCUCCCUCGGGAGUGUUAUAGCCCGCCGCGCCAUGCCCCUGGGGGGACCGAGGACCGCGCUUCGGCAAGGAUGCUG
rnacentral:rRNA from 1 species